UACGGGGGGGGCAAGCGUUGUUCGGAAUUACUGGGCGUAAAGGGCUCGUAGGCGGCUAACUAAGUCAGAUGUGAAAUCCCUCAGCUUAACUGGGGAACUGCGUCUGAUACUGGAUGGCUUGAGUUUGGGAGAGGGAUGCGGAAUUCCAGGUGUAGCGGUGAAAUGCGUAGAUAUCUGGAGGAAUACCGGUGGCGAAGGCGGCAUCCUGGACCGGCAUUGACGCUGAUGAGCGAAAGCUAGGGGAGCAAACGGG
rnacentral:rRNA from 1 species